rnacentral:rRNA from 1 species
UACGGGGGGGCAAGCGUUGUUCGGAAUUACUGGGCGUAAAGGGCUCGUAGGCGGCCAACUAAGUCAUACGUGAAAUCCCCCGGCUUAACCGGGGAACUGCGUCUGAUACUGGAUGGCUUGAGUUCGGGAGAGGGAUGCGGAAUUCCAGGUGUAGCGGUGAAAUGCGUAGAUAUCUGGAGGAACACCGGUGGCGAAGGCGGCAUCCUGGACCGAUACUGACGCUGAGGAGCGAAAGCGUGGGGAGCAAACAGG